UACGUAGGGCGCAAGCGUUAUCCGGAAUUAUUGGGCGUAAAGAGCUCGUAGGCGGUUUGUCGCGUCUGCCGUGAAAGUCCGGGGCUCAACUCCGGAUCUGCGGUGGGUACGGGCAGACUAGAGUGAUGUAGGGGAGACUGGAAUUCCUGGUGUAGCGGUGAAAUGCGCAGAUAUCAGGAGGAACACCGGUGGCGAAGGCGGGAUCCUGGGCCAGUACUGACGCUGAGGAGCGAAAGCGUGGGGAGCAAACAGGG
rnacentral:rRNA from 1 species